GCAGUCGACGGCAGCACGGACUUCGGUCUGGUGGCGAGUGGCGAACGGGUGAGUAAUAUAUCGGAACGUGCCCAGUCGUGGGGGAUAACGUAGUGAAAAUUACGCUAAUACCGCAUACGAUCUAAGGAUGAAAGCGGGGGAUCGCAAGACCUCGCGCGAUUGGAGCGGCCGAUAUCAGAUUAGGUAGUUGGUGAGGUAAAGGCUCACCAAGCCAACGAUCUGUAGCUGGUCUGAGAGGACGACCAGCCACACUGGAACUGAGACACGGUCCAGACUCCUACGGGAGGCAGCAGUGGGGAAUUUUGGACAAUGGACGCAAGUCUGAUCCAGCCAUUCCGCGUGCAGGACGAAGGCCUUCGGGUUGUAAACUGCUUUUGUACGGAACGAAAAGGUCUCUCUUAAUACGAGGGGCUCAUGACGGUACCGUAAGAAUAAGCACCGGCUAACUACGUGCCGGCAGCCGCGGUAAUACGUAGGGUGCAAGCGUUAAUCGGAAUUACUGGGCGUAAAGCGUGCGCAGGCGGUUAUAUAAGACAGAUGUGAAAUCCCCGGGCUCAACCUGGGAACUGCAUUUGUGACUGUAUAGCUAGAGUACGGUAGAGGGGGAUGGAAUUCCGCGUGUAGCAGUGAAAUGCGUAGAUAUGCGGAGGAACACCGAUGGCGAAGGCAAUCCCCUGGACCUGUACUGACGCUCAUGCACGAAAGCGUGGGGAGCAACAGGAUUAGAUACCCUGGUAGUCACGCCCUAACGAUGUCAC
rnacentral:rRNA from 1 species